rnacentral:SRP_RNA from 1 species
GGGCAGGAUGGCCCAUGCCUGUCAUUUCUACUACUGGGAGGCUGAGGCUAGUGGCUCACAGGAUUUUAGGAGUUCUGAGAUGCCAAUUGGGUGUCUAUUUGAGAUGCCAAUCAGGUGUCUAACUAAGUCUAGAAUCAAUAUGGCAAGUCCCUGGAAGUGGAGGGCCACCAGGCUUCCUAAGGAGGGGUGAGCUGGCUCAGGCUGGGAAAUCAGAACAGGUUCAAACAUCAGUGUCAGUCAGCAGUGGGGUCAGGCCUGUGAGUGGCCUUUGUACUUCCAUCUUAGGCAAAAUAGGGAGAUCUAGUCUCA